ensembl:lncRNA
CGCUUUUGAACUGGUGGACAGGGUUACCCGAGUGUUGGUUUUCUUUUUAGACAGAUCUAAGAAUGGGUUAUACAGAAGAACAUCACUUACUGUACAAUACGUGGUAUUUUCGUGUUUGAUGUACAGUAGAAGACCACAGAAGAUCCCACUUCUGCUGCAACUGUGUUUCCCAAUACUGGUCCUGGAGCACCCCCAACAGCAAUGAGCUACUCCUGCCAGUUCGUGUCAGCCCCAUGCAGGCGACACGCCCACGGACCGCCCACUGUCUGUUAACUGGGUGCAUCCCCCUUUCUUUCCUGAUGAUGUGAGGACGGAAGAAUAGAUGCAAGAUUUAUUUGCAAAAUGGAAUAUCUUUGCUCACUCAAGCGCUAUAUUUGCGCAAGUGCAUUACCUGAGUGUGCUUAAGAGAUCUGCAGUUGUUCACACUUGUUUAAUUAAAACAUUCCUAAUAAAUAUAAAGUUGUUAAAGUAUUUGAUAUUUCCUUAUGUAAACUGCAAAUGUAAAAUGCUAAAAAUGUUGUGCCAGCUGUGAAAGGUGAGGAGAAUGUAUGCGUACUGCUACUGGUUUGGGAAAUAUGUAAUACGUUCUCAAGCGUGAGAAAGGUUAUCCGGAAUACAUUUUUAGUUAAGGUACUUUGGAUAAAAUCUUUCUGGCGUUUUGGGUUUACGUGUUUUCUUUAGUGUUGGCCGGAAGAUUUUUGUUACGUAGAUGAGUUUCGGAGCCAGUUCACAGAUAGGUCUUCUGAUUUAAGGGUUGAACUCUUGGGUUUAAAAGCUCUGUGUUUCAACUUGAGGUAGUUGAUAAUUGAUUCUAGAUGCAUGAAAUAUUAGAAAUAUUUUUUAAACGUGUUAGAUUGUUGGUUAAUCUGUGUGUGUGUGUGUGUGUGUGUGUGUGUGUGUG